AAUCGCUAGUAAUCGCAGAUCAGAAUGCUGCGGUGAAUACGUUCCCGGGCCUUGUACACACCGCCCGUCACACCAUGGGAGUCUAUUGCACCAGAAGUAGGUAGCCUAACGAAAGAGGGCGCUUACCACGGUGUGGUCGAUGACUGGGGUGAAGUCGUAACAAGGUAGCCGUAGGGGAACCUGCGGCUGGAUCACCUCCUUAA
rnacentral:rRNA from 1 species